GUUAUAUGGUCAAGUGAAGAAGCGCAUACGGUGGAUGCCUUGGCAGUCAGAGGCGAUGAAAGACGUGGUAGCCUGCGAAAAGCUUCGGGGAGUCGGCAAACAGACUUUGAUCCGGAGAUCUCUGAAUGGGGGAACCCACCUAGGAUAACCUAGGUAUCUUGUACUGAAUCCAUAGGUGCAAGAGGCGAACCAGGGGAACUGAAACAUCUAAGUACCCUGAGGAAAAGAAAUCAACCGAGAUUCCCUUAGUAGUGGCGAGCGAACGGGGAUUAGCCCUUAAGCUUCAUUGAUUUUAGCGGAACGCUCUGGAAAGUGCGGCCAUAGUGGGUGAUAGCCCCGUACGCGAAAGGAUCUUUGAAGUGAAAUCGAGUAGGACGGAGCACGAGAAACUUUGUCUGAACAUGGGGGGACCAUCCUCCAAGGCUAAAUACUACUGACUGACCGAUAGUGAACCAGUACCGUGAGGGAAAGGCGAAAAGAACCCCGGAGAGGGGAGUGAAAUAGAACCUGAAACCGUAUGCGUACAAGCAGUGGGAGCCUACUUGUUAGGUGACUGCGUACCUUUUGUAUAAUGGGUCAGCGACUUAUAUUCAGUGGCAAGCUUAACCGUAUAGGGUAGGCGUAGCGAAAGCGAGUCUUAAUAGGGCGUUUAGUCGCUGGGUAUAGACCCGAAACCGGGCGAUCUAUCCAUGAGCAGGUUGAAGGUUAGGUAACACUGACUGGAGGACCGAACCCACUCCCGUUGAAAAGGUAGGGGAUGACUUGUGGAUCGGAGUGAAAGGCUAAUCAAGCUCGGAGAUAGCUGGUUCUCCUCGAAAGCUAUUUAGGUAGCGCCUCAUGUAUCACUCUGGGGGGUAGAGCACUGUUUCGGCUAGGGGUCAUCCCGACUUACCAAACCGAUGCAAACUCCGAAUACCCAGAAGUGCCGAGCAUGGGAGACACACGGCGGGUGCUAACGUCCGUCGUGAAAAGGGAAACAACCCAGACCGCCAGCUAAGGUCCCAAAGUUGUGGUUAAGUGGUAAACGAUGUGGGAAGGCUUAGACAGCUAGGAGGUUGGCUUAGAAGCAGCCACCCUUUAAAGAAAGCGUAAUAGCUCACUAGUCGAGUCGGCCUGCGCGGAAGAUGUAACGGGGCUCAAACCACACACCGAAGCUGCGGGUGUCACGUAAGUGACGCGGUAGAGGAGCGUUCUGUAAGCCUGUGAAGGUGAGUUGAGAAGCUUGCUGGAGGUAUCAGAAGUGCGAAUGCUGACAUGAGUAACGACAAUGGGUGUGAAAAACACCCACGCCGAAAGACCAAGGGUUCCUGCGCAACGUUAAUCGACGCAGGGUUAGUCGGUUCCUAAGGCGAGGCUGAAAAGCGUAGUCGAUGGGAAACAGGUUAAUAUUCCUGUACUUCUGGUUACUGCGAUGGAGGGACGGAGAAGGCUAGGCCAGCUUGGCGUUGGUUGUCCAAGUUUAAGGUGGUAGGCUGAAAUCUUAGGUAAAUCCGGGGUUUCAAGGCCGAGAGCUGAUGACGAGUCGUCUUUUAGAUGACGAAGUGGUUGAUGCCAUGCUUCCAAGAAAAGCUUCUAAGCUUCAGGUAACCAGGAACCGUACCCCAAACCGACACAGGUGGUCGGGUAGAGAAUACCAAGGCGCUUGAGAGAACUCGGGUGAAGGAACUAGGCAAAAUGGCACCGUAACUUCGGGAGAAGGUGCGCCGGCUAGGGUGAAGGAUUUACUCCGUAAGCUCUGGCUGGUCGAAGAUACCAGGCCGCUGCGACUGUUUAUUAAAAACACAGCACUCUGCAAACACGAAAGUGGACGUAUAGGGUGUGACGCCUGCCCGGUGCCGGAAGGUUAAUUGAUGGGGUUAGCGCAAGCGAAGCUCUUGAUCGAAGCCCCGGUAAACGGCGGCCGUAACUAUAACGGUCCUAAGGUAGCGAAAUUCCUUGUCGGGUAAGUUCCGACCUGCACGAAUGGCGUAACGAUGGCGGCGCUGUCUCCACCCGAGACUCAGUGAAAUUGAAAUCGCUGUGAAGAUGCAGUGUAUCCGCGGCUAGACGGAAAGACCCCGUGAACCUUUACUGUAGCUUUGCACUGGACUUUGAGCCUGCUUGUGUAGGAUAGGUGGGAGGCUUUGAAGCGUGGACGCCAGUUCGCGUGGAGCCAUCCUUGAAAUACCACCCUGGCAUGCUUGAGGUUCUAACUCUGGUCCGUGAUCCGGAUCGAGGACAGUGUAUGGUGGGCAGUUUGACUGGGGCGGUCUCCUCCUAAAGAGUAACGGAGGAGUACGAAGGUGCGCUCAGACCGGUCGGAAAUCGGUCGCAGAGUAUAAAGGCAAAAGCGCGCUUGACUGCGAGACAGACACGUCGAGCAGGUACGAAAGUAGGUCUUAGUGAUCCGGUGGUUCUGUAUGGAAGGGCCAUCGCUCAACGGAUAAAAGGUACUCCGGGGAUAACAGGCUGAUACCGCCCAAGAGUUCAUAUCGACGGCGGUGUUUGGCACCUCGAUGUCGGCUCAUCACAUCCUGGGGCUGAAGCCGGUCCCAAGGGUAUGGCUGUUCGCCAUUUAAAGUGGUACGCGAGCUGGGUUUAGAACGUCGUGAGACAGUUCGGUCCCUAUCUGCCGUGGACGUUUGAGAUUUGAGAGGGGCUGCUCCUAGUACGAGAGGACCGGAGUGGACGAACCUCUGGUGUUCCGGUUGUCACGCCAGUGGCAUUGCCGGGUAGCUAUGUUCGGAAAAGAUAACCGCUGAAAGCAUCUAAGCGGGAAACUUGCCUCAAGAUGAGAUCUCACUGGGAACUUGAUUCCCCUGAAGGGCCGUCGAAGACUACGACGUUGAUAGGCUGGGUGUGUAAGCGUUGUGAGGCGUUGAGCUAACCAGUACUAAUUGCCCGUGAGGCUUGACCAUAUAACACCCAAACA
rnacentral:rRNA from 1 species